CUCGCCUACUAUGAAGUCGGAAUUGCUAGUAAUCGCAGAUCAGCAUGCUGCGGUGAAUACGUUCCCGGGCCUUGUACACACCGCCCGUCACACCAUGAGAGUCGGGAACACCCGAAGUCCGUAGCCUAACUUUAACGAGGGGGCGCGGCCGAAGGUGGGUUCGAUAAUUGGGGUGAAGUCGUAACAAGGUAGC
rnacentral:rRNA from 1 species